rnacentral:tRNA from 1 species
GUGCUUGUUGAGUAGUGGUUAUCACAUCCGCCUAACGCGCGGAAGGUCCCAGGUUCGAUCCCUGGCAGGCACA